rnacentral:tRNA from 1 species
UUUUAUGAUUUAGUAUAAGAUGUACGUAGGAUUUUGAUUCUUAAAGUAACAGUUUGAUUCUGUUAAUUA